ensembl:snoRNA SNORA62 Small nucleolar RNA SNORA62/SNORA6 family
GCUACAUGUUGUUAAAUGCUGGAUUCGAGGCGGCUGGCUGGCUGAGGGGCUACAAGUGUGGACGGUGUGCUGUGUGAAGGGCCAGCCUUUCACUAACACCGCAAGGGACUCUAUCCCAAUGAGUGGAGUUUGAUAGUAAUUUUUGCUACAAGU